GACUAUACAAUACAGACUAUAUAAUAGAUAUAUAACGACUAUAGUUACAGAGGGGGGCUGUCUUAAAGGGCUAGCUAGGGUGUGGCUUGACAUUUAAGCAAAGAGUGCCUCUUGAGCCUCUAAUGCCCCUGUGCACCCCAGUUUGUAUCCUGUUCCAGUGCAUCCUGUUCAAGUGCACUCAAGCCUGUAGCCUCCAGAGACCCUGUGCACUACAGCCUGUACCCUGCUUCAGUGAUCCCGUGAACCCCAGCCUGUAUUUUGCUCCAGUAUUCUCAAGCACUCCAGCCUGUAUCCAACUCCAUUGUCCUUGUGUGACCUCACCAAUAGCUUGGUGCAGGUAGGCUCAUGUCUGUGUGGUUUGAUGUUUUUGACACCCUUGUCUGCCAUAGAUUUUACUUAGCCAUUUCUGUCUUCCUAUCAUUCCAGGGCAGCAAGAGACUUCCAAUAUAUCUAUGCUCGGUUCCAGGUAGUUGCCUGCUUGGGUGAUUCAGAGGGCCAAAACCUGGGAGUCGGCAACAGCAAAACUCAUCACAGCUUCUUGUACACUGCAACUCUGUUUAUCUAAGGGUUUCUCAAUUUUGCAGAAUGAGUUCUCUCCCUUCAGAGCCAUUGGUGGUCUUCGCUUAAGGGAAGGGUCCGCCAUUUCCAGCAGUGCUAUGUCCAGGCUUGAGGGAACGUGCCCCCGGUUUGAGACCUAUGUUGUCAAGGCCGACCAUAUGCUGGAGAAGCGCUCCCGGUUUUCCUGCAGGUGGCAAUCCAAUCCUCUGCCUCCCUUAUUUCACUAAGCUUAUGGCGCCUCAGCGGGGGUAUGGGGGAUUCCAGUGUGGAACAUUGCUCGUCUGUCAGCGGGGGAAGGCCAGGCACAGUUAGGUAGGUUUGGAUGUCAGUCAGUUUUGUCUCCCGAACUCCCAGGGGUUGUGCCGAACCUAGGUCAUAAAGAGUUGCGUAAUAGUCCCAGAACCCAAAGGCUAUUUGAGAGGACUUGACAGUGAGUACAUAAGAGGGUAGGCACAGCUUAUGUAUCAGCGUAGGAAUAAUUCUUAGAGGUCAGUGAGUUCCUCCAGAGCCCCUGGGUCUCCGUUUUGUUUGUUUUUGAGUUACGCCUGUUGGAGUGCCUGCAGCACCCUAUUGAAGUCCACUUGCUGGGCUUUUUUGAGCCUGGAUCCCUGAGAGAUCAGUUCGCCCCUCACAACUGCCUUGUGGCCCUCCCAGAUAAUCCCCUUGCUCACACCCUCCGUCGUGUUUUCCUUAAAGUAAUGGGACAGAACAUUCGUAACCCCAGAGACCACCGCCGCAUCGUCCACCAGGGGACUCGUUCAGUCUCCACGACCAAGCCCUAUGGGCAUCUGACUGCAGAGCUAACGUGGCCAUCACAGGGGCAUGGUCAGAUAUAGUGAGACUCCUGAUGGACGAGGCCUGCAGCAUCUCCAGAGCCAAACGUCCUACACAGAUUAGGUCUAUAUGGGUAUAGACAUGGUCCUUCGAGUAAUAGCUAUAGUCUCUACCUGAGGGGUGAAGCACACGCCAGCUGUCUAACAGGCGGUGGGCCUGUAGGGAUCUACGAAAGUGUCUAAAGAAGGCGUGUGAGUGUGAGGGGCGUCUGUGUGAUGUGUCACGCUGCGGAUCUGGGCUGACAUAAAAAUGCCUCCCUCCCCCCCCUCCUUCUCUAGGCACUCUGUUCCCUUAUCCCCCUUUUUCUGAGAUCCUUGGAGGGGGUGGGGCACCUGCAUAACCUCUGGUCUGUUUAUUAUGGUUUAUGGGGGGUUUAGAUGUCUUUGCCUUUUCCCCUGACAAUGUGUUGCGGUUAGGGAAGCUGCUUUGUCUUAGCUCUUAAGUUGCCCCCUGCUUUUUGUACUUUACUGUGCUUUUGUAUCCAUGUGAUGCUGUAACCUUGUUUUGUUUUCUCAAUAAAACAUCUCUGUUAAAAUAAAAAAAAAAUCACCUCCCAAGAUCAGGGGGCCUUCCUUGAAGUCUGCCAGGCAGUCCUGGGUGCUGUCAAUGAACGUAAGUUGUUUAGAGUUACGGACGUAAAUCGUAGCUACUGUGAGUUUCUUACCUGCUAUAGCUCCCUUUAAGAAGACGUACCUUCCCAGGGGGUCCACUUUGCUUUCUGUGACUUGGAAGGGACCAGAUUUAUGUACGGCAAUAGCCGUGCCCCUAGAUUUUUCAACCGGUGAGUUGCUGAGGAACCACUGAUUAUAUAGGUGAGUUGGCAAUUUGGGCAUUGACCGGGGGGGGUGAAAUGUGUUUCCUGCAAGAGGACCACCUGUGCCCAGGACCGUUUCAGUUCCUACAAUAACUUGCUACGCUUACAUGAAGAACAGUGACCACGGAAGUUAUAGGAAAUUACCUUAAGUGACACCAUAGGGAAUCCUUUUGGCAGGAGGUUGCCAUGAUGACAGGUGUUGUGUUACACUAUAUGAUUUAUUAUUGCUCUGUGUCUUCUAAGCUCUGCUCCCUUCUGUCUAGCUGAACUCUCUCUCUCAAUGUAGUUCCUUAUAUUCCCCUCCCACUUCCUAUUUUUCUCUCUCAUUAGCUCUGUAUACCUAUCAUGCUAAACAUUUUUCCUUGUGGCUUACAACUGCAAAGUUUUUCUACCUAUGAAUAUCUAUCAUUAAACGGAAUAUACAUUGGACAUCGGACAUUGAUUUUUCAUCACCUUCUUGCCUGUUUUUGUUACUAGUUCCAUACUGCACCAUUGAGGUCUGGACACUGCUGCUCACCAUUUCAGCUACAGCGCUUGAGUCUGAUCCUACCCAGCUAGUGUCGGAUUGACACUCUGAUUUAUCACUAUUUGCAUAAUCUGCAUUUAUGAAAUUUUUCAUAUGAGACCACUCUAUUUGAGUUACAAAGAACCGUGACUACAUUGCUCCCUAUCUGUGACCCCUGAUGAUGGCUAAACACCAAAAACGCGGUGGGUACUAGGGAACAACCAUUACAGGAGAGUCUUGGUGUCACUGUUGUAUAUGUACUGUGUAUGCUAUUUAUUUGUCACACACAUGCACACCUUGUUUUUGUUGCUAUUUUUUAUAUACAUUUGUAAUCAUGUUCAUUGUGUACUAUUAAAAAACAUUUUAUACA